rnacentral:rRNA from 1 species
CGAUGGAUAGGGGUUCUGAGAGGAAGGUCCCCCACAUUGGAACUGAGACACGGUCCAAACUCCUACGGGAGGCAGCAGUGAGGAAUAUUGGUCAAUGGGCGCAGGCCUGAACCAGCCAAGUAGCGUGAAGGAUGACUGCCCUAUGGGUUGUAAACUUCUUUUAUAAAGGAAUAAAGUCGGGUAUGGAUACCCGUUUGCAUGUACUUUAUGAAUAAGGAUCGGCUAACUCCGUGCCAGCAGCCGCGGUAAUACGGAGGAUCCGAGCGUUAUCCGGAUUUAUUGGGUUUAAAGGGAGCGUAGAUGGAUGUUUAAGUCAGUUGUGAAAGUUUGCGGCUCAACCGUAAAAUUGCAGUUGAUACUGGAUAUCUUGAGUGCAGUUGAGGCAGGCGGAAUUCGUGGUGUAGCGGUGAAAUGCUUAGAUAUCACGAAGAACUCCGAUUGCGAAGGCAGCUUACUGGAUUGUAACUGACGCUGAUGCUCGAAAGUGUGGGUAUCAAACAGGAUUAGAUACCCUGGUAGUCCACACAGUAAACGAUGAAUACUCGCUGUUUGCGAUAUACAGUAAGCGGCCAAGCGAAAGCAUUAAGUAUUCCACCUGGGGAGUACGCCGGCAACGGUGAAACUCAAAGGAAUUGACGGGGGCCCGCACAAGCGGAGGAACAUGUGGUUUAAUUCGAUGAUACGCGAGGAACCUUACCCGGGCUUAAAUUGCAACUGACUGAACCGGAAACGGUUCUUUCUUCGGACAGUUGUGAAGGUGCUGCAUGGUUGUCGUCAGCUCGUGCCGUGAGGUGUCGGCUUAAGUGCCAUAACGAGCGCAACCC